rnacentral:rRNA from 1 species
UACGUAGGGUGCAAGCGUUGUCCGGAAUUAUUGGGCGUAAAGAGCUCGUAGGUGGCCUGUCGCGUCGGCUGUGAAAACUCGGGGCUCAACUCCGAGCUUGCAGUCGAUACGGGCAGGCUAGAGUUCGGCAGGGGAGACUGGAAUUCCUGGUGUAGCGGUGAAAUGCGCAGAUAUCAGGAGGAACACCGGUGGCGAAGGCGGGUCUCUGGGCCGAUACUGACACUGAGGGACGAAAGCUAGGGGAGCGAAUGGG